CUGAGACUUUCUUCUUCUUCUUCAUCAUCAUCUUCCUCACCUCCCGCUCGGUUAAUGAAGACGUUUCUCCCUCACCGGGAGCAGCAGCUCUCUGCGGGCUUAAAAAGUUGAGGAUGAUCCGGUGAAACCCCGGAGCACCGGAGGGGUCUGAGCCGGUUUUAUACCCGGGAUAUAAUCCACCGGACCCGGUUCAUUACUUUGGAUUUAAUGGAAAGGGACCCGGGUUUAAUGAUGGAGCUCUUUAACGGAUCAGGGAUCUUUACCUGAUCCCGGUAGAGAUUUAACGAGCAUUACAAAAAGAAAUAGACCCAGUUUUUUGUUUUUUUAACGGAUUCACGGUGUUUGAUCUGUGACGUUUCAAAAAUGUUCCCUCUUGUUACGGAUUCCCGGUUGGUUUAACGGAUCAAUAGGCUACCGGAUUUCUGACAGCCAACUCCAUACCGGAUUUCUUCGUGUUCAAACUGACAUCUGAGGUGUUUUAACGGACAGUCCCGGUGACCAAUUACUAAAGAGACCCUUAGUUUGUUUUAAAUAACGGAUUCCCGGUUCGUUUAACGGACCAAUAACGGAUUUAGUUGUGUCCAUAACGGUUUUUAACGUCAGUUUAACGGAAAGUCCUGGUGACUGUUACAAUAGAUUCCCGGUGUUUAAUCUGUGACAUUUACAAAAAUGAUGUUGUCUCUUGUAAUGGAUUCCCGGUUGAUUUAACGGAUCAAUACCGGAUUUCUGACAGCCAACUCUUCGUGUUCAAACUGACAUUUGAGCUGGUUUAACGGUGACUGUUACAAAAGAGGCCAUUAGUUGUUUUUUUAACGGAUUCCCGGUGUUUGAACAGAUCACUUUGUGUUUGAUCUGUUUCUAAAUGUUCCCCUGAUGUUUGCUCUUGUAACGGAUUCCCGGUUGAUUUAACGGAUCAGUACCGGAUUUCUGACGUUUAACAGCCAACUCCUUGUGUUCAAACUAACGGAUCAGUUUAACGGACAGUCCCGGUGGCACUUGACAAUUCACCCUCGGUAAAUAAGAGCAUACAAAAGCAGGUGUUUUUUAUUUUAACGGGAAAAGGCCCCGGUUCUUCUCAGGACUGAGGUCUCCCUUUAUAAUAAGACCUAAUAAUCACCGGGUUUCCGUUCGCCCAGGGACUGGAUAACGUUCACGUUUAAAACCGGAUUGAUUUCGGUAAAGGCUGCAUUGAUUCUUGGAUUUCUACCGGAUAAAAACAGCCUCUUUCCCCCGGUUUGUGCCCCCUCCACCGGAUCGAUAUAUCCCCGGUAUCAAUCAUUCUGAAUCUAUCUCUCAUCCAUCACGGUCUGUGGGGCACCGUUUAGCCCCGGUGGAGUGAACCACCUCCUGCACGGUGAAAUAACCCCCGUGCUGACCGUAAAUCAUCAAUUUACCCUCCUGAGGACCGAGAGGGAGAGUUAUUACCGAGAGGAAGCACCGUUAUCUGCAGAAUAUUAACGGAGAAAGAACAUUAUAACCUGGAGCUGGAGUUUAAACCAUUCAAGUGGUUGGUUUCAAUGCAAAUAUACCUGGAAAAUAACCUUUUAAUUCAAUAUUCUUAAAGGGUUUAGCUGAUUCCCAGAGAAAGCCUAUAUAUGAGACGCUCACUGAUGCAUGGUUUAGCUGAUUCCCAGAGAAGGCCUAUGGAUGAUACGCUCACUGUAUAGCCACAUCCUGAACAACACACCUCCCCCUCCUCCUCCUCCUCCUCCUGUCCUUCCUCUUCCUCUGCCUCCUGUAGAUCUUGAAAUCGAGCCAUGCAGCAUUGAUUUUUUAUUCUUCCUCUCCUCACCGCAAAACCAAAACGCACACGACCAUCUCAUCUUUUCUGGUUUGUCAGUUCUGUUGCCUGAAAUGUAAGACGUGCAGCAGAGACGGUUUUCUAC